rnacentral:lncRNA from 1 species
CUCAGAUGAAUUCGACUAGCUGGUGGUGGAAGGAGGUAGGGCUCCUCCCUUUGGGGAGUCUCGCUUUCUCGGUCGCAGGACUGAACGAGGCCCUUUUUUCCUCCCAAGGGAGUAGUUUUUUCUCGCUGCUAAGAAAAACUUGAUUUUCCAUUUAUUUUACAUGUAUGGAAGAAAGUGACCUUUUUCGUGCACGUAUCAUGAAAACAUAAUUCUUAAAAAUUCAUUGAAAUCAGACACAAUUUCAGUUAUUAAUAAAAAUGUAGUUACAUUAGAGGACUGUUGCAAGAACCUUUACAAUAAACUUAUUGUAUGUAGAGAUGUACCGGAAACUGCUAUGAUUACCAAAGAUUCAAUAAUGGAGUGGAAAAAGGAGAGGAAAUACAGAAUUACAGGAAGCAGAUGUUAUCACUUGUACAUAUAUUCACUAGACAAAGAUUGUAAGGAAAAAGCUCAAAAAUAUUUUUGACCUAGGGAGUUCAAAAAUAAAUAUAGUGUACAUGGAAAUUCAUAUGAAGGUCCAGCCAGAGAGUGUUAUAUCAAACAAACAGGUUCCUAUGUCCAAGAACGUGGUUUCAUCGUAUCAAGCAGCGAGCCCUGGCUAGGAUAUUCAGCGGAUGGCAUUGCGAUCAAAAGUGGCAAAGUGACAAAGUUAUUAGAAAUUAAAUGCCCGUAUGAAUUAGAAGAUACCAAAGAAGAAACUUUAUUAUCAAAGUGUAAUUUUCUAUGCGUCCAAAAUCAUGUAUUAAGUCUAAAAGUUAAACAUCAAUACUAUGGCCAAGUCUAAUUUGGCAUGACAUUGUUAAACCUACAAAAAUGUGAUUUUGUAGUAUAUUCGAGUACUUCUGGCACUAUCAAGAUUAUAAAUGUUGAUUUUAAUCAGAAAUUUGCAAUCCAAUUAUUAGUUAACCUUAAAGAAAAGUACUUUAAAAAAUGUUGCAUGAAAUAUGUUCCAGUCAAGGGUGCAGAACGUAAAAUAAGUUUGUUGAUACACGAGUCAUAUUUUCUAAGUAUAUAAUCUUAUUCUACAACUACAAAGAUAAAAAGUGUAAAAUAUAAAUUAAUGUGAAGACAUGUUGUGAUAAAUGAUCUAGUGUUUGAAUUAAUAUAAGUUUAUGCAUGUAUUUAUUUCUUGAUAAAAUAAAAUUACAUUACAUUUCAAAAUUUGUUGUCUGCUAGUAUAGGGUUACCCAGAUUAGCGAGUCCACAGCAUAGUGUAAAUAUGUCAUCCACAUAGUUCAGGAAAUACCAAGGAAUUUUAUUAUUUAAAAUCUGGAAUAACUUUAUUCGCUGGUUCAUUCGUUCAAUGUGUAGUCGUGCACUUGCAAUAUCUCUGUUCUCAAUUGCUUCCUGUUUUGACAACUGUGUUUGGUUUCUCAAAAAUGGAGGUCUAAUGAGUUUGACCCUUUUCUGCAUACAUUCCUCGUCAAUUAAAAAACCCUUAUCAACCAUUACAGCAUCUCUAGUGCUUAGUAUACCACCAGGAGAUACUUUAGUCAUAAAUUUUACUGUCAAAUCACCUUUGUAAUAUGAAUAAAAUUUGAUGCGACACUUCAAACAGCUUGACUUCUGUAUUUUAAUUUCUGUACAGUCCAGAUGUUGUGGAACGAUAGUUAUUGAAACACUUGGGCAUGUUUCUCAGAAUCUCUUCCUUGGAAACUCUCAUUAUAGUUGAUUGUAAAAUAGUUGCUAACUUUUUUACUGUGUCAUAAAAUGCAUUCCUCACAGUCACUUCAGACACAUUAUUGUAAAAUAGUGCAAGCACAGUGAAUGAAACAUCCAAUUUCAAUCUUGCAGUUGUCAGAACAAUACAUUCUAAAGUGGUCAAUGAUUGUUUUACAUUUCGAGGGUAGAUUUUAUUCAUUAAUCUUACUAAUUCGUGUAAGAUUUUGAAACUGCGUAUGCCACACAUAGUCAGUUUUAUGGUUAUCUACAACAUUUAAUUUUCUUAGCCAGUUGCUGCGUUUAUCCACUUGCUCAUAUAAUUCGAAUAAAUUUUUUCGAGUCAAUAUCGUUCCUUUGCUGGGUAGUGCGGGAAAACUCAAUGACAGAUUUUUUUGCGUUUUGGAGUCACAAUCCUUAGCACAGCAGACUCUUUUUGUUAAUACUCGAACGAGAGUAUUCUCGCGCAAUUUGUGAGGAAGGAUGAAUAAUUUGAACACAAAUAGAAAAAUAAAACUAUAUUCAAAAUAAAAACAUUGCGAAGCGCACUGCUCGGAGUUCAGCUCUCGACUGACUCCCCCGCAGCCGCCCUCCUAGACGAUCGACGCUCGACACCACCGCUAGCCGCCGAUCGUUUACAAAAACUGGGAAUUCCCCAAAAUUCCCCUCUCCACACUUAUACAUACAAAACUGUAAAACACAGCACUCAUUGUC